GGAGCCAAUCUGAGUAGUGAAGUCCUGCCACUGGACAUCUUAGCCGGCAGCAGAGAGCUUGACUAUAACAUGGCAGAGUCUCAACACCUGCCAGUGGCCGAGAUCAUGGUGUCAGAUAAUAAAGACUGAUGCCAUGGGAUGCAGUACACGGGCUGAGUGCCUUUCAAAGGGAGCAGAUGUCACAUGUCAGUGUUUGAAAGGAUUUGCUGGAGAUGGAAAACAAUGUUCUGAUAUUGAUGAGUGCCGACGGGGCGUGCACAGCUGUGGGGAAAAUGCCACCUGAAAAAAUAUGGAGGGAAACCACACUUGCACGUGUGCUGGCGACUUGUCUGAGCCUGGACAGAUUUGCCCUGGUAGGUUGGUGGGUGGUUUGGAUCCAAGGGGAGGG
rnacentral:lncRNA from 1 species